UAGGGAAUCUUCCACAAUGGGCGCAAGCCUGAUGGAGCAACACCGCGUGAGUGAAGAAGGGUUUCGGCUCGUAAAGCUCUGUUGUUAAAGAAGAACACGUAUGAGAGUAACUGUUCAUACGUUGACGGUAUUUAACCAGAAAGUCACGGCUAACUACGUGCCAGCAGCCGCGGUAAUACGUAGGUGGCAAGCGUUAUCCGGAUUUAUUGGGCGUAAAGAGAGUGCAGGCGGUUUUCUAAGUCUGAUGUGAAAGCCUUCGGCUUAACCGGAGAAGUGCAUCGGAAACUGGAUAACUUGAGUGCAGAAGAGGGUAGUGGAACUCCAUGUGUAGCGGUGGAAUGCGUAGAUAUAUGGAAGAACACCAGUGGCGAAGGCGGCUACCUGGUCUGCAACUGACGCUGAGACUCGAAAGCAUGGGUAGCGAACAGGAUUAGAUACCCUGGUAGUCCAUGCCGUAAACGAUGAGUGCUAGGUGUUGGAGGGUUUCCGCCCUUCAGUGCCGGAGCUAACGCAUUAAGCACUCCGCCUGGGGAGUACGACCGCAAGGUUG
rnacentral:rRNA from 1 species